rnacentral:rRNA from 1 species
UACGUAGGAGACGAGCGUUGUCCGGAGUUACUGGGCGUAAAGCGCACGCAGGCGGUCUCUUAAGUUUGGAGUGACAGUUGGUGGCUUAACUGCCAAAGUGCUUCGAAAACUGAGAGACUUGAGGGCUUCAGAGGGACACGGAAUUCCGGGUGGAGUGGUGAAAUGCGUAGAGAUCCGGAGGAACACCAAAGGCGAAGGCAGUGUCCUGGGGAGUACCUGACGCUCAGGUGCGAAAGCCAGGGGAGCGAACGGG